AUGGUCCAAACACCCCCCCCCCCAGGAUCCCUUGCGGCACCCUGAACACCAAUAUGUUUUCAUGUCAGCAAAUGGUCGAAAUAAAUUCACGUUACGGCGUAGCUUGCAACAUAGAACUAGAGGUUAAUAACAUAACUAUCAAAUGCUCGAAACGGCAAAUGCUCGAAAUUAAGUCACGUGGUGACUUGACGACUACUGGACUUGUUGGGCUCGACGCACGUGGAGUAAAUGUUUGCUGGGAUAACAAUUGGACUGUGUAAUCGAAAUUAUAAGUCAUUCAGGAAAAAAACAACUUUAGAAAGUCUGUAAACAACUGAGAUUAAAUUACACUUCAACUGUUACAAUACACAUUCGAUUAACUAUGUUCGUGUGUAAAAUAUAGGUAGGUAUACAUUACCACUGACUGCAUAUCGGCAAAUGGGCAGGAAUUCCCUGAAAAAAAAGGCAAAUGUGAGGGCGGAAGUCAAUGCAACUGUUCUUUUAACUGAAUUAGAAUAAUAUUAGGUAUCAAGGGGUGUCGCGGGUACGCCCUGCGUGUUGGCUCCACUGUAAAGUUUGCAGAGGCGGGAUCAAUAGUAUUCAUGAGAAUAUCGUAAGAGAAGAACAAUUAUCUUGGAAAG